rnacentral:rRNA from 1 species
GCUUGCUGUCUGGUGAGAGUGGCGAACGGGUGAGUAAUGCGUGACCAACCUGCCCCAUGCUUCGGAAUAGCUCCUGGAAACGGGUGGUAAUGCCGGAUGCUCCGCACCGUCGCAUGAUGGUGUGGGAAAGGGUUUACCGGCAUGGGAUGGGGUCGCGUCCUAUCAGCUUGUUGGCGGGGUGAUGGCCUGCCAAGGCUUCGACGGGUAGCCGGCCUGAGAGGGCGACCGGCCACAUUGGGACUGAGAUACGGCCCAGACUCCUACGGGAGGCAGCAGUGGGGAAUAUUGCACAAUGGGCGCAAGCCUGAUGCAGCGACGCCGCGUGCGGGAUGACGGCCUUCGGGUUGUAAACCGCUUUUGAUUGGGAGCAAGCGAGAGUGAGUGUACCUUUCGAAUAAGCACCGGCUAACUACGUGCCAGCAGCCGCGGUAAUACGUAGGGUGCAAGCGUUAUCCGGAUUUAUUGGGCGUAAAGAGCUCGUAGGCGGUUCGUCGCGUCUGGUGUGAAAGUCCAUCGCUUAACGGUGGAUCGGCGCCGGGUACGGGCGGACUGGAGUGCGGUAGGGGAGACUGGAAUUCCCGGUGUAACGGUGGAAUGUGUAGAUAUCGGGAAGAACACCGAUGGCGAAGGCAGGUCUCUGGGCCGUCACUGACGCUGAGGAGCGAAAGCGUGGGGAGCGAACAGGAUUAGAUACCCUGGUAGUCCACGCCGUAAACGGUGGAUGCUGGAUGUGGGGCCCGUUCCACGGGUUCCGUGUCGGAGCUAACGCGUUAAGCAUCCCGCCUGGGGAGUACGGCCGCAAGGCUAAAACUCAAAGAAAUUGACGGGGGCC